GAUGAACGCUGGCGGCGUGCUUAACACAUGCAAGUCGAACGAAGCAUUUAGGACAGAUUACUUCGGUUUGAAGUUCUUUAUGACUGAGUGGCGGACGGGUGAGUAACGCGUGGGUAACCUGCCUUGUACUGGGGGAUAGCAGCUGGAAACGGCUGGUAAUACCGCAUAAGCGCACAAUGUUGCAUGACAUGGUGUGAAAAACUCCGGUGGUAUAAGAUGGACCCGCGUCUGAUUAGCUAGGUGGUGAGAUAACAGCCCACCAAGGCGACGAUCAGUAGCCGAGCUGAGAGGGUGACCGGCCAGAUUGGGACUGAGACACGGCCCAGACUCCUACGGGAGUCAGCAGUGGGGAAUAUUGCACAAUGGAGGAAACUCUGAUGCAGCGACGCCGCGUGAGUGAAGAAGUAAUUCGUUAUGUAAAGCUCUAUCAGCAGGGAAGAUAGUGACGGUACCUGACUAAGAAGCUCCGGCUAAAUACGUG
rnacentral:rRNA from 1 species